GUGUUGGGCGCCUGUAGGCACAUACCUCCUCCUAGUCCUGAUUGACCGUUCCCUGGUUGAAGACACAGGGGUCGACCUCGGUGCCGUCCUCACCUACACAGCCGGUGUCGGCUUCCUCAACAGCCUCAUCAACCCUCUAGUGUACGCCAUCAAGAUCCCUGCGGUAGGCCGGGUGUUCAGGAGAGUGUGUUGCUGUUGGUGCUGGUCUGAUCCUACCCCUUCCGCCAGACACAGUGUGUACACCCUGGCUAAUGUGGGGCUGGUACCCUUGACUCCGGACGACGCAAGGUGAUGUACGCCAGACACCGGGUGAUGUACGCCAUACACCCUGUGAUGUACGCCAGACACCGGGUGAUGUACGCCAUACACCCGGUGAUGUAUUCCAGACACUGGGUCCGGGUGAUUUACGUCAGACACCUGGUGAUGUACGCCAGACACCCGGUGAUGUAUUCCAGACACUGGGUCCGGGUGAUGUACGACAGACACCGCUGAUGUACGACAAACACCCGGUGAUGUAUUCCAAACACUGGGUCCGGGUGAUGUACGACAGACACCUGUU